rnacentral:rRNA from 1 species
UAGGGAAUAUUAGAAAUGGCCGAAAGUCUGAUCUAGCAACACCGCGUGUGCGAAGAAGGCCUUCGGGUCGUAAAGCACUUUUUGGAAGGAAUAGGAAGGAAUGUACUUCCAGAAUAAGUCUCGGCUAACUACGUGCCAGCAGCCGCGGUAACACGUAGGAGGCAAACGUUAUCCGGAUUUACUGGGCGUAAAGCGCGUGUAGGUGGUACUGUAAGUAGGGCGUGAAAGCUCCUGGCUCAACUGGGAGAGGCCGUUCUAAACUACAGGACUAGAGGAUGGUAGAGGGAGG